rnacentral:rRNA from 1 species
GCCAGACUCCUACGGGAGGCAGCAGUGGGGGAUAUUGGACAAUGGGGGAAACCCUGAUCCAGCGACGCCGCGUGAGUGAAGAAGUAUUUCGGUAUGUAAAGCUCUAUCAGCAGGAACGAGACAAGACGGUACCUGACUAAGAAGCCCCGGCUAACUACGUGCCAGCAGCCGCGGUAAUACGUAGGGGGCAAGCGUUAUCCGGAUUUACUGGGUGUAAAGGGAGCGUAGACGGCAAUACAAGUCGGAAGUGAAAUACCCGGGCUUAACCUGGGAACUGCUUUGGAAACUGUAUGGCUGGAGUGCUGGAGAGGUAAGCGGAAUUCCUAGUGUAGCGGUGAAAUGCGUAGAUAUUAGGAGGAACACCAGUGGCGAAGGCGGCUUACUGGACAGUAACUGACGUUGAGGCUCGAAAGCGUGGGGAGCAAACAGGAUUAGAUACCCGGGUAUC